GGAUGGAUACGAGUCCAAUAUCAAGACUCAAUCAAGAAAUCGGAUCGAGAUCGCUCAGAACUCAAUCCGAUCCGACCCAUUUGCAGGCCUAGCCCAACCUUAUUUUUAUUUUUGACAUCCAAUCAUUUUCGAAUCCAAAAUCCUAUGGGAUUUAGAACAAAUUUGAGAUUUGUUCCAUUUAAAUUUUAUAAAAAUAUAUAUUUAGGGAUGUUGGCUAAAUGGGUUUUCUCGGACACU
rnacentral:lncRNA from 1 species